GACAGAGCCUCCACCUGAGGUGUGUAUUUGCAUCGUCCCCUGGUGUUCCUCAUCACGUUGGACCGGAGGUUACCCAACACGUCAGACUACUCACCCAGCAGACUGGCCACAAUGGUUACCAGUCCAGUUCCUGCACCCAGCUCCAGCACCUCCUUUCCCUGCAGGUUCACCCUCUUCCUGUUGUUUUCCAGAGGGGGACUUUCACUCAGGAUGUCAUCCACUAAUCUUAGGAUCAGCGGUUUGAUACCUGGCUCCUCCAGGCUGCAUGUUGAAGUUCGCUUAGGCAAGAUACCGAACCCCAAAUUGCAUCGGAGCACAGCGACAAUAGACACGAGGCCCGUUCCUGCCCCGAUCUCCAGCACCGCCUUGUCCACGAGAUUCAACUCUUCACGAUGAGUAUCC